CCCUGGCGUUCUUCGGGCGAAUCGGAGAGGCGGGCGCUGCGCUGGGGAAAGUUUGUCCCACCCGCAUUUCGCAGCUGGCUGCGAGGAGAGGAGGAGCGGGAAGGUAGAGCUCGGAGCCUGCGGCGGCAAGGAGACCCAGCGCCGCGCUUACCUCGCAGUCCUCGUACUUGAUAUUAUCCGUCAGUUUCCAAAGCAUUUUCAUGGAUCGGCGUGAACGGAUUUGCCCCCUUCUCCGCCUCGCACCCAAGUGGAGCUACUCUCUGGCUCUUUACGAACAGCCUAAUCGCCUCAUUAGCAUAUCAACAAUAGUCCAAUUGCUCGCCAGCACCGCAAUCUGCGGCUGGCCGCUCCGACCCAGGUAUAAAGGCCUCUCCAAGCCGCGAACUUGCUCCUAGAGCGCACGCCUGCCGGGUUUUUCCUAGGUGCGAUGUGGACAAAAUACAGAACUCCUAUGGAGUCUCGCAGUCGCUUCUGGAGUUGAGCCGAAAUACCGACAUGUGUGCGCCGUGUCAUGCAUGCAUCAAAAUAAAUCGCUGGGAACCAACUCUUCGCUGUGCUAAUCUGCUCCAGUUUUCCCAAGAUCCCCCUUUUUAAUUAAAGCAGGGAGAGUUCCUUCAUGAUUUGGUGAUGUUACUAAAGCGGGCGCGCUCACGGCGCAGUGCCCGGCUGACGCGGAACUCGGGGGCCCUGACGCCACCCCCGAGUCCAGGUUGGCCAGUCUGGGGUCUCGGGCUCCACACAGGGACCUGCUCGCCCCGCCCCACCGGGGCUUAAUUUUUUCUUUGCUGCUUUAGUGAAUUAUUUUAAGGGCGAAAUUAACAAAAAGACGUGAUGUAAUCCUUCGAAAUACAGAGUAAUUAAUUUCUCUG